rnacentral:lncRNA from 1 species
GUGAAUUCAAAGCCUUAAAUAUGAAAGUCAAGGUCGAUGAUGACAAGAACUUUAAGCUUAGCGAAACACUGAAAACUCUUCGGGACAGAUGCUCAGCUUUGCGACGCAAUGUUCCUCUCGGUUGAAGGGCAUUUUCAAUUCUGUUGGAGCUACAUCCGAGGAAGUUAGUCAUUCUACUGAAGAUAUUUGUAACACUCCAGGUUCCACAAACAACCCGGUAUGCUACUGUACUACACUUCCGACGUCCAUAUAUAAAAUUUCGGCAGCAUCCCCUUUGCAAGAUUGCAUAAAAGAGGGAGCAACAAGGUAUAAACAUAUAUCAUGACUAAAACAUACUAAGUAUUAUUACUCGGCUAACAAGGAAAGAUAAACAUACGACCUGAACUGAAUUAACCAGUGCGCAUGACCAUAUAAAAAAAUAAACAAACUUCCUUUGACAAUAAGUUUCUAAUUAAAUCAUGGCUGCGCCUGGGCAGCGUUAUUGUGAGAGUGAAAGUGGACGUGCUGCUACUCCCCUCAUUCCCAACAUGUAUCAAGUACCUGCAUUGAGUAAUGCAAGAGUGAGAUGACACAUCUCAGCAAGUAAAAUAAUAUCAAACAGUUUAACCACAUAAGAACAUUGUUUUACCACCACUUAAUUCCACAACCUUCUUAUUACGAAGGUGCAGCACGUAUACAACGUACAACGCACCUAGUUACCACACCUCGUAGGUAGAAACCACAAUAGUAACAUAGUAAUGUCACACUUCAUAUAUUCCUCAUGAGUGCAAAUGUCUGCAAAUGCAAGGAUGACUUCUGCCUUCAUACCUCUAAGGAUAUGAAGCCGCAUCGUACCCCUCCUCGGGCAACGUACGAUGCUAAAAAUGUACCGGUACGGUCGGACCAUAAGAUCACGACAUAACUUCAAAAUGCAAGAUGGAUGAUGCGAUGUGCAUGUCAUGCCUACAACACUUCAUAUAACAUGAUUCAAAAAGACACUUCAACUUCAUCCAGAUGGGAAUCAACCACAUAUAUCAUUACCAAAUUAUGAUCAUCCACAAUAUUAGACAAUUGAGAAUUAAUACUUCCAAACAAAUAAACUUCAUCAUAGAAUUCAAUGAUUAACAUAAUUAAAACUUAUGCAUACUCAAUAACAGGGAAUAGGAUGCAAACCAAACGGUAGCAACCACCACUAUAUUUACUUGCCUUUACCGGAAGUUCGGGCAAAUCCCUAAGUACGAUCCGGAAGUCCACCACCUGUUUUUGACACCCAACUUAGUACACCAAUUUCACAUAAUCAGGCUCAUAAGCGACGCCGCACCUACGCACAAACUCAAACCCCGCCGCGGGUUACAUCUCUCCCUACACUCACCAAACUGCAGCGGCGCUGCUUAAUAAUUUCAUAACUUUAAAAUUAUGACAGCAGUGGUAACAAACAAAAACUCCAGAGGCAUCUACAUAAAAUUCCCCACAAGUUUUGUAUACACUUUAUAAUUAAAUUCCAAUAUCUAAUUAGCCCAAAACAGUCCACAAGAUGAACCCUGUAAUCUGUUUUUCUUUGUCUUUUGGACAGCGACAUACCCAGAUUCAAACAGCGAUAUCUUUUAAAAUAUAAUUCCAAAUCAAGCGCAUAAGUACUCAUUGGAAAGAUAAGACAAAUCCCUACAUGAUUACGAUACUGGUUAACACUAAUUACCCACGAAAAAUUCCCAGAAACUGCUAAUACCACUGCUGUUCACCCACCUGAAAAAUCUGUUUUUUUGGACAGCAACAUAACCGGAUUCAAACAACGAUAUCUCCUGAAUUAUAACUCCGAAUCGAGCGCAUAAGUACUUGUUGGAAAGAUAACAUAAAGCCCUACAUGAUUCUCAUACUGAUUAACACUAAUUACUCCCGAAAAAUCCCCAGAAACUGCUAAUACCACUGCUGUUCACCCACCUGAAAAAUCUGUUUUUUUGGACAGCAACAUAACCGGAUUCAAACAACGAUAUCUCCUGAAUUAUAACUCCGAAUCGAGCGCAUAAGUACUUGUUGGAAAGAUAACAUAAAGCCCUACAUGAUUCUCAUACUGAUUAACACUAAUUACUCCCGAAAAAUCCCCAGAAACUGCUAAUACUGCUGCUGUUCAUCCCCCUGAAAAAUCUGUUUUUUUGGACAGCCACAUACCCGGAUUCAAACGGUGAUAACUUUCAAUUUAUAACUCCAAAUUGAGCGCAUAAAUACUCGUUGAAAAGGUAAGGUAAAGUUCUACAUGAUCCCCAAAAUGAUUUCCCUUAAUUCCUCACGAAAAAACACAGAAACUGCUAGACUACUGCUGUUCACCCACCACCUAAAAUUCUGGACAGCCCCCCUCUACCCCAAUCGCAAACGCAACCUCUAAUCAAUUAAAUUGCAGCGCAAAUGAACAAGGGAUGAACACAAAAAUCACCUUGGAUUCUCCCCCUUUCCUUCCUCCCUUCUUCCCUCCACCAAAACGAUUGAAGACUCGCACCACGACGACGAUGAUCCGAGCGGCAAGGAUUGGCACCUUGGGAGGAGGGGAUUGAGAGGGGGCGGCUAGGGUUUGGUGGCUGCAAGAAUUGAGAGAGGAGGAGAUGGGCAGGGGGGCGGCGGCCAAGGGGGAAGAG